rnacentral:rRNA from 1 species
CCUACGGGAGGCAGCAGUGAGGAAUAUUGGUCAAUGGACGAGAGUCUGAACCAGCCAAGUAGCGUGAAGGAUGACUGCCCUAUGGGUUGUAAACUUCUUUUAUAUGGGAAUAAAAUGUUCCACGUGUGGGAUUUUGUAUGUACCAUAUGAAUAAGGAUCGGCUAACUCCGUGCCAGCAGCCGCGGUAAUACGGAGGUUCCGAGCGUUAUCCGGAUUUAUUGGGUUUAAAGGGAGCGUAGGUGGAUUGUUAAGGCAGUUGUGAAAGUUUGCGGCUCAACCGUAAAAUUGCAUUUGAAACUGGCAGUCUUGAGUACAGUAGAGGUGGGCGGAAUUCGUGGUGUAGCGGUGAAAUGCUUAGAUAUCACGAAGAACUCCGAUGGCGAAGGCAGUUCACUGGACUGCAACUGACACUGAGGCUCGAAAGUGUGGGUAUCAAACAGGAUUAGAUACCCGUGUAGUC